CACCAGAGGCAGAGGAACUGAACUACAACAGCAAAUGAACUAAGCGGUAUACCAUAUUUUAUGAUAUACCGGUAUUGAUGCAGGGACCGACCUAGCCACGCCCCCUGUCACUCAAGGAGCGCAUUUCAUGUUCCUCAACCACGAGACACUUGCGUUCAGUCUGCCUGGUCAAUGAAGCACAUGUAACAAUGUUGAUAACGAUGCUUUUUUCACUUUGCUUAUUAAUAUAAAUCCACUAGCGUUCUAUAA